rnacentral:rRNA from 1 species
GACGAAGGAUGCAAGCGUUAUCCGGAUUCAUUGGGUUUGAAGGGAGCGUAGGUGGCCUUAUAAGUCAGCGGUGAAAUCUCUGGGCUUAACCCAGAAAUUGCCAUUGAUACUGCCUUGCUCGAGGACUGGAGAGGAGAUUGGAAUUCACGGUGUAGCAGUGAAAUGCGUAGAUAUCGUGAGGAAGACCAGUGGCGAAGGCGGAUCUCUGGACAGUUCCUGACGCUGAGGCACGAAGGCCAGGGGAGCAAACGGG